GGGCGCUUAGCUCAGUUGGUUAGAGCGCAGCCUUCACACGGCUGAGGUCGUUGGUUCGAGUCCAAUAGCGCCCA
rnacentral:tRNA from 1 species